UGGCAGAAAAGGACUCCCAUUGACUGAACCUUUCGACGAAGGCCAUGGAGCAGAGACCAAGGGUCAAACCAACCUUCAUCCUCCAUUCCUGAGGGAAACUUGUUCUGUAGCUGUUCAGCAGACAUUAGACAAAUCUUGGCCCCUUCCUGCCUGAGAGAAAUGUAUGCAAGUGACUAUAGGAAUUAGGGCUUCUCUCUACUGAGCCCCAGACUGUCAACUGCACUGUCAUCUCCACUAAGGUAUCCCAGGCGCGCAGAACAGCAGGUCCGGAUAAACUCCAUAUUGCAGUACCCGCUAACGCAUGAUACCUCUAACUGGUCCCGUAUCCUGAGUAUUUAUUACCAACAGCACCAAUCUUCCAUUUAUGUAGACCAUUAAGAAGGGCUUCACUGGGAUUUAGGCACUUGUCUAGGCUCCAUUAACUGACAGGUUUCUCAGUUCUCCCAGCCAACUCGUUCUCCUACCAGGGGGACCAGGGUCUCCAGUCUAAAGUCACAUGUGUGGAGUUUGUGGGCACCCCAGAACCACUAUUCCCCUCUGCUGUCCACUUUACCCAGGGUAAAACUUCCUCUACGCGUGCCCAGUCCCCGGGUUAAGCGGCCUGGGCCCAAGCCAAGCUGCAGCACUCUCCGAAACAUAGCCGUUCUGAGCCGGUCUCCGCGGCGUCCGCGGCCUCCGAGCCCGACUCAGGACCUCGAGGUCAUC